rnacentral:rRNA from 1 species
UGGGGCUUAACCCCAGACCUGCAUUCGAUACGGGCGAGCUUGAGUAUGGUAGGGGAGUCUGGAAUUCCUGGUGUAGCGGUGGAAUGCGCAGAUAUCAGGAGGAACACCAAUGGCGAAGGCAGGACUCUGGGCCAUUACUGACACUGAGGAGCGAAAGCGUGGGGAGCGAACAGGAUUAGAUACCCUGGUAGUCCACGCCGUAAACGGUGGGCACUAGUUGUGGGGACCUUCCACGGUCUCUGCGACGCAGCUAACGCAUUAAGUGCCCCGCCUGGGGAGUACGAUCGCAAGAUUAAAACUCAAAGGAAUUGACGGGGCCCCGCACAAGCAGCGGAGCAUGCGGCUUAAUUCGACGCAACGCGAAGAGCCUUACCAAGGCUUGACAUAUACAGGAAUAUGGCAGAGAUGUCAUAGCCGCAAGGUCUGUAUACAGGUGGUGCAUGGUUGUCGUCAGCUCGUGUCGUGAGAUGUUGGGUUAAGUCCCGCAACGAGCGCAACCCUCGUUCUGUGUUGCCAGCAUUUAGUUGGGGACUCACAGGAGACUGCCGGGGUUAACUCGGAGGAAGGUGGGGAUGACGUCAAAUCAUCAUGCCCCUUAUGUCUUGGGCUGCACGCAUGCUACAAUGGCUGGUACAAACGGCUGCAAUACCGCAAGGUGGAGCGAAUCCGAUAAAGCCAGUCUCAGUUCGGAUUGGGGUCUGCAACUCGACCCCAUGAAGUCGGAGUUGCUAGUAAUCGUAGAUCAGCAACGCUGCGGUGAAUACGUUCCCGGGGCUUGUACACACCGCCCGUCACGUCACGAAAGUCGGUAACACCCGAAGUCAGUGGCCCAACCGCAAGGAGGGAGCUGCCGAAGGUGGGAUCGGUGAUUGGGACG